AUUGGGAAGAAAUCCUCCUAGUCAGAUACAAGAACACUCCUGUAUCAUAUUUCUGCAUUUUUGUUUUCAUUACCCAGAAGUAAGAAAUUCUACAGGACUACUCUUAUGUUCAGAUUGUUGAGAGAAGUCUGACUUGUGGGGUAACUUUUCACCAUGCAGGAGACUAAAAAUGGUCUGGCUGAUCUACAGCUCACACAUGUUGGUAAUUAAAGCAUCACUUAUUUGAUGCACCUGGCUGAACUCUUGAGUGGAACACAGAAAGUGGAAAGUUACUCUGUCUGCAUGGUAUUUUACUCCAAAAGAGAAGUAGCAAAAAUGGGAAUGAAUUUCAAAGACAAACAUUUGAGGAAUUAUGGAGACCCUGAGCAAAAAGUUAACAACCAUUCCCUUGGAAGAUGCUGCACAGUAAUCACUUUGUGUUGCAACAGCUCCGUUGGAUUGUCCUGCUCAGCUCUUCAGGAAUUUUUGGAGGGAUUUCUUUGGUUUCUGAAACUAGUAUAAAGGUAAUGAAGCUUUUUAUCUAAUAAAAUAACAGCAAUUAAAAUUCA
rnacentral:lncRNA from 1 species